rnacentral:misc_RNA from 1 species
AAAUGCGAUAAGUAAUGUGAAUUGCAGAAUUCAGUGAAUCAUCGAAUCUUUGAACGCACCUUGCGCUCCUUGGUAUUCCUUGGAGCAUGCCUGUUUGAGUAUCAUGAAAUCUUCAAAGUAAAUCUUUUGUUAACUCAAUUGGUUUCUACUUUGGUAUUGGAGGUCUUUGCAGUUUCACACCUGCUCCUCUUUGUUCAUUAGCUGGAUCUCAGUGUUAUGCUUGGUUCCACUCGGCGUGAUAAGUUAUCUAUCGCUGAGGACACUGUAAAAGGUGGCCAAGGUAAAUGCAGAUGAACCGCUUCUAAUAGUCCAUUGACUUGGACAAUACUUUUAUGAUCUGAUCUCAAAUCAGGUAGGACUACCCGCUGAACCUAAGC